rnacentral:rRNA from 1 species
AUAGACAUACCACCCAGCAUGUGCCUGAUCUUGUCUGGUCUUAGAAGCUAAGCAGGGUCAGGCAUGGUUAGUACUUGGAAGACAGAGAUGUUCCAAACCUUAGACCUACUCACUGGAAAAACUAGGACAUCAGUA